rnacentral:lncRNA from 1 species
ACCCAAAUUUAUCCCGCACUUCAGCUUGUAGGGCAGCAAUUUUUAUAUCGGGCUGCUGUUCAAUUAAUGCAAAGAUGAAUGAACAAAUAAAAUUUUCAUCCAAUUGGCUAUGGUUUUUUGUCAACUGAGGAUUUGUACAUGUGUGCGGUCCACUGUAUCUCAUAAUUUUCCAUAUAUCCUCUCCUUCUUUCUUGGAUGCUCGAAGCUUCCAUGCACACCCACUGUCUUUGUCUUU